AUCAAAUCCUGGCUCUGUCACUGGCUGUUUGCCUCAGGGAAGUUAUUUAACCUCUCUUUGUCUGUAAAACAGGGACCCUAAGAAUUCACGAGAGGAUUAUUGCAAGGGUUAAAUGAGUGAUUCCAGAAGCCAGGCACGUGGUGCAUCCCUGUAAUCCCAGCACUCAUGAGGCUGAGACACGAGGAUCAUCUGAGCCCAGCUUGGACUACAUAGUUCGUGGUCAACCUGAACUAAAUUGAGACCCUGUCUUUAAAAAAAAAAGUGAUUCCAGGUCGCACCUGAGACUCUUGGUAGCUGUUGGCACUGGGAGUUGACCCCCCCCCCGACUCAUCAAGAAUUCAUGCUCACCCACUGGGGCACCGGUCUGCCAAGAACGCCACCUGUGGCAUCAUCCCUACUGCCACCUACCCCAUCCUGCCAUGACUUGUAACUAAGCAGCCCCUGGCAGAUCCUCUUGCCAACCUCUAACACUUCCUGUUUCUCACACCUGCUCAAUGACAGAGGCGGACCAGGCUGUCUGCUGGCCAGACAGUGGCGAAGCACAGGCCCAGAUAGGGACACAGCUGGUCAGUCAUGCAGCGAUGCUAAGGGGAAACAGGCCCCACACCAAGCCCCUGCUUCUCUGCUAACUAGGCCUGAUUUGGGGAGGUCUCUCUCUGCCUAACUUCUUGGUUCUAACCUGCUGGGGAGAUCUGGUUCUCCAUUGGAUGGGGUGUGGGAGGGUGGAGGCUAACACCACCCUGCACUAGCGUGUGUGUGUGAAUAGAACAAAAGCAGUAAAAUGACCUCAGUUGGGUUUUGUGGUUUUUUGCAUGGCUGGACUGGCAUUUCCCUUGAUGUUGGCUACAGAGGAAGAAUCGGUCCAGUUAAUCCUAGGAAAAUGACUUGAGACCAGCUCUCCAGGAAGACUAAGAAACUGAGGUCUAGAGAGGAUCGAUGAAGACAAAGGACCUCAACAUUGUCUUCCAGCAAGGCAGUCAGAGAUGAGGUCUGUUUUAUCUUAUUUGGCCCUGGAGAUGGACUCUACCACUGAGCUGCACUGCCAACCCCUGGGAUCUGUUUUGGAGUCAUUUUAAGGAGGCCUAUAGGCACCACCUGCAAGCUGUUCAUCUAUCCUCUGAGUUGGAGGAGGAAAGGAAGACCUUGCCAAGCCCUCCAAACCUGCUUAUAUUCUCUGUCUGGGGGAGUCUGUGCUUUGUCACAGAAUGGACUCCUGGCUUCUCCAUCCUGCCUAACCAAAGAGUAGCUGGGGGCUUCUCUUAGUGAGAACACCCCUCAUUCUGCUUCCCUCACCCCCAAGAACCCUAGGAAAUGAAGCCUGGGCAUUCCGUCCCUGACUGGUGACAGGAGGAUCUGGCGCAGAGACGUCUCAAGGGAGGGGAUGUCUGAGCUGUGCUCAGAGGACAAUAGGGAGUUUUUCAGGAAGGUGAGCUUCAGAAGGGCAUUCCAGCCUGGGAGCCACCCUGCUGUGGCCCAG
rnacentral:lncRNA from 1 species